GAUGAACGCUAGCUACAGGCUUAACACAUGCAAGUCGAGGGGAAACGACAUCGAAAGCUUGCUUUUGAUGGGCGUCGACCGGCGCACGGGUGAGUAACGCGUAUCCAACCUGCCCACCACUUGGGGAUAACCUUGCGAAAGUAAGACUAAUACCCAAUGAUAUCUCUAGAGGACAUCUGAAAAAGAUUAAAGAUUUAUCGGUGAUGGAUGGGGAUGCGUCUGAUUAGCUUGUUGGCGGGGUAACGGCCCACCAAGGCAACGAUCAGUAGGGGUUCUGAGAGGGAGGUCCCCCACAUUGGAACUGAGACACGGUCCAAACUCCUACGGGAGGCAGCAGUGAGGAAUAUUGGUCAAUGGACGAGAGUCUGAACCAGCCAAGUAGCGUGCAGGAAGACGGCCCUAUGGGUGGUAAACUGCUUUUAUAAGGGAAUAAAGUGAGUCUCGUGAGACUUUUUGCAUGUACCUUAUGAAUAAGGACCGGCUAAUUCCGUG
rnacentral:rRNA from 1 species